CCUCCUGAGUGCGAGGAUUACAGGCAUGUGCCACCACGCCCUGCUGAACUCGUAUAUAAAGAGCUCUGAGAGAGGUAUGGGAGAGCCCUUGGGUGGAAAUGGAAGUUAUCUCUAAACUGUCACUAAUCCACCUACAACAGUAGCGAAGCAAGUGUUGUAGCUCCUCUCCCCGCCCUGCUCCCACGGCUUUGAAGUGCUAUCUUUCCUGCUCAAAUGUGAGAAGGUGAGUGUGUCAUAUUUGGGGUGGGCAGGAGGCAGCCACCUCUUGCAUCUCCUUCAGAACCUGUGCAUAUGUUACCUUAGAUGGCAAAAGGGACCUUGCCGAGUGAUGGGAGAUUUUUUGAUGGAGAGAGUGUCCUGGGUUAUACAGGUGGGCCCUACGUAAUCAUCUAGAUCCUCUGAGGAAGGAUGUGGGAAACUUGGAGUGAGUAGUAGGAGAUAGGAUGAUGGAAGCAAGAGAUGGGAGAGAUGGAAAGCAGGAGCUGUGAGGCAGGAAAUGGGGGCAGCUUCUAAGAGCUGGUAAAAGUGAGACAAGGGAUUCACCCUGUGAUGGGGAUGUAGAGAUAGUAGUGAUUUUCAUUUCUCAUUCUUGGGAUUUCUUCAUUCUCAAAUGAAAAUUCACUAGCUCCAUCCCUAUUCAUCUCUGACUGGAGGCCAAUUUGAUCAUAUUCUAUUUAUUUUUUACCUGUCAAGAGAACCUAGAAUUUUUCUGUUGUAGGAAACAGCCUAUGACCUUGGACCUGAUCAAGGGGUGACAAGAAUGAAAAAUAAAGAGACACAGAAUCAGAUUAAAAUCUGGAGGGCCGGGGGCUCAUGUCUCCCUUCAACAUAAAGCCCCAAGUGACUGGCACAACUUGGCUUUAUUCACUCAGAAAUUGGCACGAGCAAUUAGAGUUACACAGGAUUCAUCUGUCUUCCUCCCUCCAUGGUACUUGUCUGGGUAAACAACAGGUUCUCAGGUGUUUUUAUUUUUGCAUGGAUUGUGUCAGUACACUUGCAUGCCCCCUUUCUUCUUAGUGCUCACCGAGGAGGCCAAUUAGGCCUCAUUCUUCUCAUCUGGUCUCCCACAGUCUAUGGCCUGUCAGUUUAGCCCCGCCUAGUCAUCACACCUAUGGCAUCUUCCUUUACACUUACUUUGCAGUUUUUAAAAACAUGUUCAAGUUGGGAGUGGUGGUGCAUGCCUGUAAUCUCAACACUCCAGGCUGAAGCAAAAAGACUCCCCAGAGUUCAAGGCAUGGACUACAUGAUGAAUUCAAGGCCAGCCUGACCUACAUUGUGAGACCCUGUCUCAAAAAAAAAAAAAAAACAACCCAAUAAAUAAAUAAAAAGUGAGAAAUAAAUAAAACAUGCCCACAAAUUCUUUGACCUUAGUGACUCAUAGAAUGUAGUGAAAGUAAGGCUGCUUAACUUAGAAGACCAGGUCAGCAAAGGUUAGGUAGCUUCUGACUCAUCAUCAUCCUGAGAUGCUUGUCCAGGAGGAAGCCGGCUACCACACAAGAAACCCAACUACUCUGAGAUUCCCACUUGCUGGAGAGCCCACAUAGGUACCUUAUUUACAGCCACAACUGAUCUGAGCCACCAAGAAUCAGAAGCCUGAUGGCAAGAGAAGCAUCUUGGCAUCCAGUCCUGCCUGUCCUUCAGGUGAAUUCUGGGCAAUGGCUCGAGAGACAGUGAGAACUGGCCAUUUCCCAAGGCCCUGACCCAAACAGCUGUGAACAAACUAAAUGGUUUUUAAAUCACCAGAGUUUUGAGUAACUUACACAACCCUAGUGACUAAAAUAACCUUUCGUCUACCUUUAAGCGCACUGUAGGUACUAUGGUUCCAAGGACAAAGACAUGUCUCAGCUCCAUGCAAAUGUUGCACGGGUAUACCUGUUUACCGUAGCUAGAGUGGAUCCCUGUUCUUUUGUCUUCAUAGGCUUUUAUUCAGUCUUUGGCGUAAAUAACAAUUAUUUCAUUUGAGAAAAUGUUUCCCACUAUUCCCGUCUCCCUUGCCAACCAUAUGUUUCUAGCCAGAGCUGCUGUGUUCCUAUUUGCCGCUUCCCACACCUACGUAGGAAUGAAGGCACCUCUAGGAGCUGAAAAAGUGAGGAAAUAAAUUAUUUCCUAGAGCCUUCACAAGGAAUCAACCUGUCAACACAUUAUAUUCUGCUGAACUUUGGCAUCUCUGUAACUGUAAGAGAAUACAUAUGUGUUUUUUGUUUUUGCAGUGUUGAGGAUUUGUGAAAGAAUAUAUUUGUGUUUGUGUUUGUUUUGUGGUGCUAAAGAUUGAAUACUGGAACUUGAGGAUGCAAGGCAAACACUACCACUGAGUUAUAUACCUUGUCUCAUUUGUGUUUUGAGCCGUGAAGUAGGUGAGGCAGAAAAAAUAGAAAAUUAGUGUACCCUGAACACUUCCUGGUUCUUUCUAAUACCUUCUUGUUUAUGUAUAAACCAGCCCAAGAAAUAUUGCUGUCAUUUGCUACCAAAACAAUGCUUUCAGUGCUCACUUUGGCAGCACACACACUAAAACAGUCCUUUUAAAACAACAGCACAUAGAGUUAGCCCUCCUUAUCCACUGCUUCUGUAUCCAUGAGUUCAAACAAUAGUGGACUGGAAAAAAUUUUUUAAUUACAUCUCUUUUGAAUAUAUAAAAUAUUUUUCCUUGUUAUCAUCCCCUAAGCAAACAGUAUAAUAACUAUUUAAUAACAUCUGCUUUUUACUAGAUGUUUAAAUAACCUAGAGAUGGUGUAAAGUCUGAAGGAGGAUGUGUAAAAGUUAUAUGCAAACACUACAUCAUUUUUACACAAUAUCUUUUCUGUCUCUUCCAUUCUGGUCCACAGAGCCCUGAUAAGCAUUGGUCACAGUCACUGUUGACUGAGAACUUUUUUUUUUUUGGACCUGGGAUUGAACUCAGGACCUUGAGCUUGCAGGGCAGGCUCAUUGUCACUAAGCUAAAUCCCCAGCUCUUGACUGAGAACUGAGGGGACAGUGUGAGGGUGACAAUUUUAUUUUUAAAAUCAUAAUUUAAAGAAAGGUUCACACUCUGAGAGCCUGUGGACGCUUAUCCAAUUUCAGCUUUUCCUACAAAGUCCUACCCAGAAAAGAAUUCAAAUUAGCAAAUCUUUUAUUUUUUUUCUUUUCUUCUUUACUGUGGUCAACUGUAUAUAUCAUAAUACUUAUCAUUUCAACACCUUCUGUGCGUAGUUCUGUAGCAGUAAGUCCAUUCAUAUUGUUGUGUAGCCAUCUGUACCAUCCAUCUCUGGAAUUUCUCAUCUUUCCAAGCUAAAAUCUACUGGACACUAACUCCCCACUGUCCCCUCCUUCUGACCCUGGUAGCAACUCUUUCUUGAAAAAGGAUAUACUAUUUCCUAAAAUUAAAAAAAAAACAAAAACCAAACAUUUUACUUCCUGUCAAAGGCAAACAUAGCCAGGCUCUCAGGCUAUCUUUGAAUCUUUGAAUCAUUACUAAGCAAAAUAAAAGCAAACUUUCAAAGCAAGCCUCCCCCUAACCUUCAAGAAAAGUCACAACUUUGACUUCAUGCUGUGUUCACCAACCGCACAUGAGGUUUCCUGUGUGAAUAAGAUGCAGGGAUACGCAUCUCCACUGUAGGCCAGAGGACAUGUGACGUGGAAUCAGGUCAUGCCUGUUGUGGAGGUUGAUGAGGGCCCCUUUGGGUCUCAGUGGACCCAAAGUCAGAGUUAGACUUUUGUAGGUCUAGAGGCCUAUGCAGUUAGUAUUAAAAGUUAGUUUUCAAUAAAACGUGAAAUCAUCAAGCUCAUACUGGUAUAAAAAUUAACACCUGUAAAAUAUAUUGUUUUAGUCAGUAACUGAAGAGGGAUGAGACAUAUGUCAUAUUAGGUUUAAAAGAAAACCCAAAGGCCAGACAACAUUUAUAGAUGAGAAGAUGGAGCCUCAUGGAAACAAGUUAGGUCACUGGGGUAUGCACUUGCAGGGGAUAUUGGCACUGGCCCUUCCUCUUUUUCUAUCUUUUCUUCCCAACUCCCAUGAGGUGAGCAGCUCCCUCUACCACGUGCUCUCACCAUGAAGUACUGCUUCACCACAGGCCCCAAAACAGCAAGGCCUAGCAAGGCUGAAACCUUUGAAAUGAGGCUAAAACAAAUCUUUCUUAUUAAAAGUGGGUGGUCUCUGGUAUUCUGUCACAAUGACUGGCAUGAUUUAAGUCUAAAAUGUCCCCCCAAGUCUUGUGUUCAAAGGUGGGACCUAGUUAGAAGAGGCAUCACACUUAAUGCUGAAAUACUGAAUGUCUGCUUGCCCUAUUUGUAUUCACCAUUGUACUGAAAGUACUAAAUAAGACAAUAAAGCAGAGGAAGAGAAUAAAAGGAAUCCAGGUUGGAAAGAAAAAGCAAAACUAUAUGCAAAGAAGAUACGGCUGUCUGUCUGUGGGAGAUUCUAUAGAAAAGAUCAAAUAAUUGAUGGACAGUCAAAGAAUUGCUCGGAGAUCUGGAGAACUAAGUUGGAGUUUUCAGGGUAAGAACAACAACUAACACCAUGUCCUAGAAUUGAUCAUCUGAUGAGGACGCCUCUGCUGCCAGUCCAAAAAUGUAGGCAGAUGCCACAGUCCUGGGAAUGGGCGACCACCAGACGCACUGUUGCUCCUAUUGCCACCAUCUUCACCAUUGCCAGGGAGGGUUCUCCAUUGCCUCUGUUUAUUCUCACCUCUGGAUUUAAAAUUCAGGACACUACCUUUAAUUGGCUGCACUUAGCCCAUGUGCUUAAUCCUAUUUGCAAAGAAGACUGGGAAAUGGCUGAAUAAAGAUCGCUGAGAAUAUUCUUCAUAUCAACAGAAAGCUAGAAAAAAUCAUCAAAAUCAACUUUUUCAAAACUCUGAAAAUUAACCAGAGCCUCACAAAAAUCUGAGGAGUAUUUCCUUCAGGAAAAAGAGCAGUGAGUAUCUAGGUAAGAGCAGAAAUCUUUGUGCUGUUUAGAUCCCCCUCUCACUAGCUUUACAUCUUGAAAUCUAUAAAAACCAGCAUUCACUUGAAGGGACAGAGAAUUGUGAAACUCCCUCCAAUUCCUAAUGUAGAGAAUUGUCUCUGUUUUAUCUUUCUGAGAGAUCCCUGGAAAUCUCCACACCUAGUGUGUCUAUUUACUUAAACUGACUCAUAGUUCACCCAUGCAGACUUGGGAAGAGCAGGAAACUUGUUUUAAAAAAAUCAGCUGCAAUUGUUUAAUGUCAUGCUACCUGAGGUGAUUAUACUAUAUGGGACUGAGACAAAGCAGACCAAAGAACUUGAAAGCUGGUGAAUGUGAUGUUUGUACAGCCUUUGAUAUUCUCUUAUUCUCUCCCUCUCUCUCCCUCCCUGCCUAUCUUUUUUGAGACAUACUCUUGCUAUGU